rnacentral:rRNA from 1 species
UACGAAGGGGGGCUAGCGUUGUUCGGAAUUACUGGGCGUAAAGCGCGCGCAGGUGGUCUUUCAAGUCAGUGGUGAAAGCCCGGAGCUCAACUCCGGAAAUGCCAUUGAAACUGUAAGACUUGAGGAUGAGAGAGGUGAGUGGAAUUCCCAGUGUAGAGGUGAAAUUCGUAGAUAUUGGGAAGAACACCGGUGGCGAAGGCGGCUCACUGGCUCAUAUCUGACGCUCAGGCGCGACAGCGUGGGGAGUCAAACAGG